ensembl:lncRNA
UAGCUGAAUGACCUUUGGGCUCAGUGUCCUCAAUUAUUAAGUAAUAAUAGAUUCUUUCUCCUGGAAUUUUAAUGGCACUUAAACCAAACAAAGCAGGUAAAGCACUUAGCCCACAAGAAGCAAGUGGACAAUCAAUGUUAGUCAUCAUAAGACUAAAAAUUAACUUAAGCAUCAAGGUAUGCAAACUAUGGAAUAUAGGCAGUAGGCACCCACUCACUUAAGAACUAUUGAUAUUGCACUUACUAUGUGCCAGGCACAGAUCAACACACUUCAUUUUUUUAAAAUCCUUUUAUUAGUUCUCCCAGCAACUUCAGGAGACAGGUACUAUUACUUUGCCCUACUUUAAAUAUGAGGAAGCAGAGGCACACAAUUACCAAGCUGCACAUCCGAGAUUCAAUCUCAGGUUCCCUUGACGAUGCUCUUCCAGUGCUGUCCAAUGGAACUUUCCGCAAUAAUGGAACUCCUCUGUCUGUGCUGUUGACACUAGCUACUGGGCACGCAGGGCAACUGAGUCCUUGAAAUGUGACUGGAUUUCCAAGCAGAAUGUUCAUAUCUUUUUCUGUACGUAGACUGACUCAGCCUUGCCACAAUUUUGUGGGCGAAGUGGAGUCUUAACUUCUCCAGCUGAAAAACAAGAAAACAUAUUCUGUCUACUGCAAGUAUUAGCGACAUGAAAUGCCUGGCUCAUGGUUUCAAAUCCCUUCUUUAUUCUAUGUGACUUUCCAUGAAAACUUUUCAGUUUAUCAGCAUCACCUUCCAAAUGUGAUGUCCACAUGAAGUGUGAUGAAUGAGUUUCAGCACCUCCGUCAUUGUCCAAGACGUUUCAAGAAAGCCAAAAGAAGUUGAGAAGCUCAUUGUCAUAAUCUCUGUUGAUCAGGAAAUGUAGAAAUCAAAGAGGAUUACGUGAGUUCAGGAUUUUCCUCCAUAUUCAUGUCCCCUGGAUUCAACAUUGUAAUAAUAAUGAAGACUGAACAAAUUUGACUUGAAAAUUUUGGGGGUCUUUCUAACAAAACAGAAAUAGGUAAUGGAACAUCUCAAGCUCGGCUCAGAAUGUAACAUUUUUCACAAUCCGCUGUCUGAAUUACUCAAACUUUGAUAUCUAAUCUUGAUAUCUCAUAAGGUCAGUCUUCUCGCCUUAUUCAUCUGCAUGAUUAUCUUGGUUAUCUUGGGUCUUUCUCAUCUUCGCAUAAAUUUUAGAAUUAUCCUAUCAGGUUACAUACACAAAAAUGCAAGCACACAAAAACGUGAUGGAAUUUUUAUUGGGAUGACACUGAAUCUAAAUCAAUUAGAGAAGAAUUGAAAUAUUUAAUAGAGUUUUAAUAGAGUAUUUAAAUAGAGUAGAAUAUUUAAUAGAGUUCUAUUUAAAUUUAGAAGCAUGGAGGAGAGGUCCCCACAGCUGGGACUUAGACCUCUGAAGAGGAAAUGCGGGUGGGAGGAAGGGGUCACACAAUGAAGCUGGUUUGGUAAAUGUAGAAAAAACUGCAAACUGUGUGCAGCUGCCGUGUCACGAAGGAAUUGCUGCUGCCAAGGUGAGGGAGUAUUGCUGGCGUGACGCUCACACGAGCUUCGAGCAAACAAGAAGCCCGCAGGAACCCACAAGAAGGAGCAAGUCCCUUCAGCUUCCUCCAGCCUUGCAAGUCUCCCUCUGGACUCUCUGCUGGUAGAGCCUAACAGGGCAAGCAAAAGGUGGCUUGCAGAGUCCAGGUCCCAGCAUCACUAAGCGAAUGAUAGACGGUGGUUUGGAAGCCAACUGGCCCACUCUCUUAUUUGUGUCUCCAUUCUCCCCUUCGUUCCUACUUUCCUCAAACCCAAUCUUAUCUGGUCUCUGGGAGAAAUCUCAAGCCAGCAAACAUGCCUCUGAGAAACUUCCAGUACUUCCACAGGUCAGCAGUUUCUUAGAUCCUUGCUUCAAUUUCAUGGGAGAGGGAAGAGAAAUUGGCCUCAACGCAUGAGAGAGAAAAGGAGAAGAGAAUCCACAAAGAACAGUCUACUUUAAAGAUUUAACUCUACCACGUUUCUACCUACUUUUGACAAAGACACCAGUAGAGAGAACUGUUUUCUACUAAAAGAGAAACGGCAAGCGCAGUAAGUGGGAACUGGCACCGUCAGUGUUGUGAAGCAGCAGGAAUUGGUGGGACCGUGGAGAACACAUGCCUGUCUAAAGAGGGCAGCAGCUGCCCAGCCAGCCAUAGACUGCAAUGUGGUAAUGUGAGUCCAGUGUUCCCAGAUCUCCUAAUUUUUUGAGAGAUGCCAGAAAUCUGGAUUUUUAUGUGAAAGCUUCCAAUUUCAAGAUGUUGGCUCAAAAAUGUUUUAAACAUUGUACAAGCCAAAUGAAACAUUGCAAUGGGCCAAAUCUAGCCUGUGGGCCAUGGUUUGGGACGUAUGCAGUGCAGCAUGCAGACGAAAGGGGAUCUGCGGCAAUAUAUGGACCUCAAGUAUCACGUCACGUGGCCUAUGGGAAAGAACAGCCUAGUUCAACAUUAUGCGAUAACCUGAAUUUUAAUGCAAUGUUGGUUUCUUGUGUUAGGCUUCUUUUUGUUUCCUUUUCUUUCUUUCUUUUUUUGUUAUCAUUCUUGAUGACGUUAACACAAAGUCAGCCUAACCUAGUGCUGUCAGCGUUAGCAUGAUCACGCACGUCAAUGUGGAGUUAAUUUAAAACGAACACUUUGGGAGAAAGAAACUGUAUAAAUCAAAUAUAUAAUCACUAUUCUGGGGUUUGGAAUUUGCUUCAAGAAAGUUGGCACCUCUUUAGUUUCACUGUGAGAGCAAUAGUCAAUCAUUGGGGCAUCUAGUAGGAUAUGUAAACUGGCAGCAAUUUGAAAUAAAUGUUUAUAUACAUAUAGAUAUAUACAUACAUGCAUUGUACCUAUAGUAUAAUCAUAUAUUAAAUCCUGUGGUCUUUGGCAGAAACUUCUGUACAGCUCUAUUACAAAAUGAUAAAGUAUAUUGCAAAAUAAAAUGUGUAGACAUUAAAACUGGAAUUCAAAAUUUUGUGGUGUUUUUUUAUAUUUGUCAAACUUUUCAGUAGGUUCUUUGAAGCUUGAUUCUUCAUUUGAGUAUCAGAAAAUCUUUUUCCCAUGUGGAAGCUUACACAUAUUCCUAAGCCACGUGGAAUAGACACUUUGACUUGUACGAAAAAGAUUUGUGGUCUUCGCAAAGCCAUUAUAAUUUCUCUGGUGGUACAGAUGAAGCUAUAAAUAAAUAUAUG